rnacentral:rRNA from 1 species
CAGUAGCCGCGGGAAUACGUAGGUGGCAAGCGUUGUCCGGAAUUAUUGGGCGUAAAGGGCUCGCAGGCGGUUUCUUAAGUCUGAUGUGAAAGCCCCCGGCUCAACCGGGGAGGGUCAUUGGAAACUGGGAAACUUGAGUGCAGAAGAGGAGAGUGGAAUUCCACGUGUAGCGGUGAAAUGCGUAGAGAUGUGGAGGAACACCAGUGGCGAAGGCGACUCUCUGGUCUGUAACUGACGCUGAGGAGCGAAAGCGUGGGGAGCGAACAGGAUUAGAACCCCAGUAGUCCCUGUCUCUUAUACA